GUACACGCUGUGACUAGCAUAUCAAUAAGCGGAGGAAAAGAAACUAACAAGGAUUCCCCUAGUAACGGCGAGUGAAGCGGGAAGAGCUCAAAUUUGAAAUCUUAAAGGGUUUCCCUUUACGAAUUGUAGUUUAAAGAAGUGUUUUCUGUUGAGGUUUUGGUAAAAGUUCUUUGGAAUAGGACAUCAUAGAGGGUGAGAAUCCCGUAUUUGACCUUUACUUUCAACUUUGUGAUACACUUUCAAAGAGUCGGAUUGUUUGGGAAUGCAGUCCAAAAUGGGUGGUAAAUUUCAUCUAAAGCUAAAUAUUGGCGAGAGACCGAUAGCGAACAAGUACCGUGAGGGAAAGAUGAAAAGAACUUUGAAAAGAGAGUUAAACAGUACGUGAAAUUGUCAAAAGGGAGGCGUUUGACACCAGUGUUGUUUUUCUGAAAAUCAAUUAAAGAACUGUUUAUGCUAAGCUGUUUAGACUUUAUCAGCUAAUCUGUUUAGUUUUGAGCUUUUCUUUAAUGCACUUUUCAGUUAACAAGUCAACAUCAAUUUCUUUUGCUGUAAAAAAGCUUGAGGAAGGUGGCUUGAGAUUCGUCUUAAGUGUUUAUAGCCUCUUGCCUAUGCAGUCGGAGAGAUUGAGGUCUGCAGCGUAGAUCCUUCGGGGCUAAAUGCAUUUGUGCUAAGUUAUAACAUUUUAUAGACAACUUGUUGACUAUGAUUUGUCUUGUAGCUUACUCGCUUAUGUUAUUUUACCUACGCUUAGGAUGUUGACGCGCGUGUGUGCGUG
rnacentral:rRNA from 1 species